UGGGAGUCAGGUGGCUGCUGUGAGGACAAGGAAGAGUCAGUGCCUGGAGGAGCUGCCUGCAAGAACCAUCAAGGAGGAAUAUAUUUCCUCUGGCUCAUCUUUUCAGGAACACACGUGCACUAAUAGCACAAGAACAACUCACCUUCGUUCUACACUUCUCCACAAGGUCAAUUAUUACCAUGCAAGUACUUGACUGAAAAUUGGUUGCUAUGAAGAAAACUCCAUCCUCUAUCAAGGCAUCUGAUACAUCAUUGGUGAUACCAUAAGCUACCCUAAAGAAAUGUCUUACUGGAAGGGCUAUGAAACACAUGGUAAAUGAAAAUUAAUUCAGUAUUUAUUCAAGAUAAUAGAGAGCUAGUUGACUUGUUUGGUCUGACAGAAUAUGAAAAAAGUUCUUUAUGGCUUUGAAUUCCUCAUAUCAGACCAGCAGUGUUACAUGUCUGAUGAAAUCAGGACUAGAAAUUUCACCUGAAAUGUGGGUGGGAGAAGCAAAAAAGUUCAUAAUUCUUGAAGCAAAAGAACUCCAUGACAGAUUUACCUGGUGUAGAAGAGA